AGAACAAGAAGAAUAGAAGCGAUGAGAGAAGUUGGAGAGCUUUGUGGGAGUAAGGAUUUCGUACACUUGAGGAAUAGCCCCUUAUCCCUUAUUUCUUCAUGGUGCUCCCAUGAGGAUGUAUAGAAUAUUGGGUGUCUUUUUUGAACCAUAUCUUUUCUAAAGGUUAUCUUUUUGGUAUACUUGUAUAUGGGCAUGUUUUGUCCUUCUUUU
rnacentral:misc_RNA from 1 species